GAUGAACGCUGGCGGCGUGCCUAAUACAUGCAAGUCGAGCGAACGGACGAGAAGCUUGCUUCUCUGAUGUUAGCGGCGGACGGGUGAGUAACACGUGGAUAACCUACCUAUAAGACUGGGAUAACUUCGGGAAACCGGAGCUAAUACCGGAUAAUAUUUUGAACCGCAUGGUUCAAAAGUGAAAGACGGUCUUGCUGUCACUUAUAGAUGGAUCCUCGCUGCAUUAGCUAGUUGGUAAGGUAACGGCUUACCAAGGCAACGAUGCAUAGCCGACCUGAGAGGGGGAAAGGCCACACUGGAACUGAGACACGUUCCAGACUCCUACGGGAGGAAGCAGUAGGGAAUCUUCCGCAAUGGGCGAAAGCCUGACGGAGCAACGCCGCGUGAGUGAUGAUGGUCUUCGGAUCGUAAAACUCUGUUAUUAGGGAAGAACAUAUGUGUAAGUAACUGUGCACAGCUUGACGGUACCUAAUCAGAAAGCCACGGCUAACUACGUG
rnacentral:rRNA from 1 species